rnacentral:SRP_RNA from 2 species
GCCGGGCGUGGUGGCGGGUGCCUGUAAUCCCAGCUACUCAGGAGGCUGAGGCAGGAGAAUUGCUUGAACCCAGGAGGCGGAGGUUGCAGUGAGCAGAGAUUAUGCCACUGCACUCCAGCCUGUGUGACAGAGCAAGAUUUCGUCUCAA